rnacentral:rRNA from 1 species
UACGUAGGGUCCGAGCGUUAAUCGGAAUUACUGGGCGUAAAGCGUGCGCAGGCGGUUUUGUAAGCCAGAUGUGAAAUCCCCGGGCUUAACCUGGGAACUGCAUUUGGGACUGCAAGGCUCGAGUACGGCAGAGGGAGGUGGAAUUCCACGUGUAGCAGUGAAAUGCGUAGAGAUGUGGAGGAACACCGAUGGCGAAGGCAGCCCCCUGGGUCAAGAUUGACGCUCAUGCACGAAAGCGUGGGGAGCAAACAGG